GUGCCAGCAGCCGCGGUAAUACAGAGACCCCGAGCAUUAUCCGGAUUUAUUGGGCGUAAAGCGUUCGUAGGUGGUUUCGUAAGUCAUUUGUUAAAUCUUCAGGCUUAACCUGGAGGCUGCAGGUGAUACUGCGAGGCUAGAGUAUGGGAGAGGCAGACGGAAUGCCCGGUGUAGCGGUAAAAUGCGUUAAUAUCGGGUAGAACACCAAAGGCGAAAGCAGUCUGCUGGAACAUUACUGACACUGAGGAACGAAAGCGUGGGUAGCGAAAGGGAUUAGAUACCCCUGUAGUCC
rnacentral:rRNA from 1 species